GACGAACCGUGCGAACGUUGUUCGGAAUCACUGGGCUUAAAGGGCGCGUAGGCGGCAGAUCAAGUCCGGGGUGAAAUCCUCCAGCUCAACUGGAGAAGUGCCUUGGAUACUGAUGUGCUCGAGGGAGGUAGGGGUCCGCGGAACUUCUGGUGGAGCGGUGAAAUGCGUUGAUAUCAGAAGGAACGCCGGUGGCGAAAGCGGCGGACUGGAUCUCUUCUGACGCUGAGACGCGAAAGCGUGGGGAGCGAACAGG
rnacentral:rRNA from 1 species